AUUGAACGCUGGCGGCAGGCCUAACACCUGCAAGUCGAGCGAGUGGCGGACGGGUGAGUAAUGUAUGGGGAACUGCCCGAUAGAGGGGGAUAACUACUGGAAACGGUGGCUAAUACCGCAUACUAUCGGAUGAACCCCUAUGGGAUUCGCUAGUAGGUGGGGUAAAGGCUCACCUAGGCGACGAUCCCUAGCUGGUCUGCGAGGAUGAUCAGCCACACGGGGACUGAGAAACGGCCCAGACUCCUACGGGAGGCAGCAGUGGGGAAUAUUGCACAAUGGGGGAAAUCCUGAUGCAGCCAUGCCGCGUGUAUGAAGAAGGCCUUAGGGUUGUAAAGUACUUUCAGCGGGGAGGCGUUACCCGCAGAAGAAGCACCGGCUAACUCCGUGCCAGCAGCCGCGGUAAUUC
rnacentral:rRNA from 1 species